ACGAACGCUGGCGGCGUGCCUAAUACAUGCAAGUCGAGCGAAUCAAUAGGAGCUUGCUCCUGUUGGUUAGCGGCGGACGGGUGAGUAACACGUGGGCAACCUGCCUGUAAGACUGGGAUAACUUCGGGAAACCGGAGCUAAUACCGGAUAAUCCUUUUCCUCUCAUGAGGAAAAGCUGAAAGUCGGUUUCGGCUGACACUUACAGAUGGGCCCGCGGCGCAUUAGCUAGUUGGUGAGGUAACGGCUCACCAAGGCGACGAUGCGUAGCCGACCUGAGAGGGUGAUCGGCCACACUGGGACUGAGACACGGCCCAGACUCCUACGGGAGGCAGCAGUAGGGAAUCUUCCACAAUGGACGAAAGUCUGAUGGAGCAACGCCGCGUGAGCGAUGAAGGCCUUCGGGUCGUAAAGCUCUGUUGUUAGGGAAGAACAAGUAUCGGAGUAACUGCCGGUACCUUGACGGUACCUAACCAGAAAGCCACGGCUAACUACGUG
rnacentral:rRNA from 1 species